rnacentral:rRNA from 1 species
GACAGAGGCCUCGAGCGUUAGGCGGAAUCACUGGGCUUAAAGCGUGUGUAGGCGGGCCCGUAAGUGUCUUGUGAAAUCCCACGGCUCAACCGUGGAACUGCUCGGUAUACUGCUUAUCUUGAGCCACUUAGGGGCUACCGGAACAAAUGGUGGAGCGGUGAAAUGCGUAGAUAUCAUUUGGAACGCCAAUGGUGAAAACAGGUAGCUGGGAGUGUGCUGACGCUGAGACACGAAAGCCAGGGGAGCGAACGGG